GACGAACGCUGGCGGCGUGCUUAACACAUGCAAGUCGAGCGGUAAGGCCCCUUCGGGGGUACACGAGCGGCGAACGGGUGAGUAACACGUGAGCAAUCUGCCCAUCACAUCGGGAUAACUCCGGGAAACCGAAGCUAAUACCGAAUACGACCACCUCCGGCAUCGGAUGGUGGUGGAAAGUUCCGGCGGUGAUGGAUGAGCUCGCGGCCUAUCAGCUUGUUGGUGGGGUAACGGCCCACCAAGGCUUCGACGGGUAGCCGGCCUGAGAGGGUGACCGGCCACACUGGGACUGAGACACGGCCCAGACUCCUACGGGAGGCAGCAGUGGGGAACAUUGGACAAUGGGCGAAAGCCUGAUCCAGCAACGCCGCGUGAGGGAUGACGGCCUUCGGGUUGUAAACCUCUUUCAGCAGGGACGAAGCGCAAGUGACGGUACCUGCAGAAGAAGCACCGGCCAACUACGUG
rnacentral:rRNA from 1 species